AUCUGAUUUGCGUUCAGAAGAUGUGAGUAUAUCUUGCAAAUUUUA
rnacentral:tRNA from 1 species